AGCGAAGCACCUUGACGGAUUUCUUCGGAUUGAAGCCUUGGUGACUGAGCGGCGGACGGGUGAGUAACGCGUGGGUAACCUGCCUCAUACAGGGGGAUAACAGUUGGAAACGGCUGCUAAUACCGCAUAAGCGCACAGUACCGCAUGGUACGGUGUGAAAAACUCCGGUGGUAUGAGAUGGACCCGCGCCUGAUUAGGUAGUUGGUGGGGUAACGGCCUACCAAGCCGACGAUCAGUAGCCGACCUGAGAGGGUGACCGGCCACAUUGGGACUGAGACACGGCCCAAACUCCUACGGGAGGCAGCAGUGGGGAAUAUUGCACAAUGGGGGAAACCCUGAUGCAGCGACGCCGCGUGAGCGAUGAAGUAUUUCGGUAUGUAAAGCUCUAUCAGCAGGGAAGAAAAUGACGGUACCUGACUAAGAAGCCCCGGCUAACUACGUGCCAGCAGCCGCGGUAAUACGUAGGGGGCAAGCGUUAUCCGGAUUUACUGGGUGUAAAGGGAGCGUAGACGGCAUGGCAAGCCAGAUGUGAAAGCCCGGGGCUCAACCCCGGGACUGCAUUUGGAACUGUCAGGCUAGAGUGUCGGAGAGGAAAGCGGAAUUCCUAGUGUAGCGGUGAAAUGCGUAGAUAUUAGGAGGAACACCAGUGGCGAAGGCGGCUUUCUGGACGAUGACUGACGUUGAGGCUCGAAAGCGUGGGGAGCAAACAGGAUUAGAUACCCUGGUAGUCCACGCCGUAAACGAUGA
rnacentral:rRNA from 1 species